CUGGUGUUGGCCCAGAUCGUGCGCCAACAAGGUGGAGGAGCACUAGGGUGUCAAGACAGACCUGUAGGUGGCCUUGCUGAGAGCGAAGGCAGCUAGAGAAGGGCUGUCCGCGGCAGCUUAGCUCGCCGGCGGCCGGUGAUGGCGUGCGGUGGUGGUCCGGUGGGGCUGAGCGAGUAGGGCCGGGUACGGGAGGUGCAGUGGGAGGUGAGGGAGGCGACUGUGGGCGCGGUUUGGGCUGAGGAGGGGCGGAGGUGAGGGCGCAGCGUGCAGGAGCUAGGCGGCGGCGCGUGGCCGGCGCCCAGCCCCGCGGCCCCCUGCCCGGCGCGGCUAGCCCCUAGCUGUCACGGCCGGUGCCCAGACCCGACGACGGCGUCGAUCCGGCAGCCCUGCCGUGGUAGGGACGAGUGCACGUCGAUCUGCCGGCAGGCUCUCCAUGGCUCACGCCUCCGCCGCAGCGACUCUUCCUAUCCGCGUGCGUGAAGAGGAAAGGUGGGGGGUAGCGUGGUCUUUUUGCCGUGUGCUGUCUUGGGAUAACGGCAGCUAUGCACGGAGAAAUAGUAAUUUAAAAUUUUAUAUUGAUGCAUUUUAGUAUUUUUAUUAUAAUUAUAAUUAUAUAAUUUAGAUUCAAAUUUAGAGGUUACUUUAAUUUCUAAUAAGAUACAAUUGGAUAAUUCAUAUGCAAAUUUAGGAGUUUGUUUGCAUUAUUUUUAUAAUGGCAAAGAUGAGUAAUUUACACAAAGAUUAGGGGAUUACAUUAGAUUUUUUUAUAAUGGUAGAGUUGGGUAAUUUAGAUAUAUAUUUAGGAGUUACUUAGUCUUCCUUAGUCUUCCUUCAUAAUUGCAGAUGUGAGUAAUUUAUUAGGAAAGAUAACUGAUCUAAUGACUAUUAUAAUUAAUAUAAUAGAUUUGCCGGAUUGAUAGGCAAAUGUUUCUGAUUUUUGUAAGAAAUUUUAGACUUUCUCUAUUUUUGUAGAAUGUCCACCUAAGAUGCUACGUGGCUUCACGUGGAGGCUUAAAAGGAGCCUUCAAUUAGUAAUAGCUAAGUAGGAGAAGUUUGACGGACAAGAAUCUACAACUAAUGUUUGGAAUCAGCGCGAGUACGUACCACUGGAGCUACCAUGAUGAAUUUCUCUGUAUAGGAAGGACCAGCAAACUGAAGAAGCUCCAGAAAUCUACCCCAUCUCUGGUCUACUCGCUUCCAGAUGGAUCUCCACCAGCUAAGCUAGCCAUGCAAGAUCAAAGUUAAUUAUACGCCAAUUCUUCAGAAGUGUAUAAAAAAGGCGCAAGUAGUAAUAACCACAUGGAAUUAAGAAGGAUAGAUGUUAUUAUAUACCUUGGCACUUGGCAGCUAGCUAGAAUGUAUCCUUAGUUGAGGGGGUAAAAAACAGGAGUAUGUGGCGCUAUAUAUGAAGUAUCUGCUAACUUCCUUCAGAGAAACUGUGUGCGCCGGGAGAGAAGUGACCGCCACAACAUGGUAGUGGACACUAACCGUCAAUGCGAAUGCUAUAUGUAUAGGAAAGCUGCAUGCAAGGGGCUCAAGCUUCUGAAAAUAGCUUCACCUUGUAGCUUCUUGACAUUGGCUUUCAUGGAAAAAGAAAGAUGCGCAGCGUGCUCGUUGCUUGGGGCUGGAGCCUGGAGGCAAAGAAUAAAAUAAAGACGGAACGGUCCUGCAAACAAAAGUAACUUGUCGGAUGAUCUCUCCAGCACAUCGAAGAUCCGUUUGUCCGAAGGCUCGUAAUGUUCUCAGCAGAUCACCGGACAUCAGUGUAUUUGUAUUGAGCAAGACUGAGUACCACCCACGUCCUCAGCAAAUCAAGAAAGCAAAAAUGCAGUUAACAGUAUGCACAGCUUCAACAAUGGAAGGAGGCAGAGCCAAGGCUGCACUAUCAUUGUGGUAGAUUGCCAAAACCUAUAGCUUAGUAUUGAAUCCAGGGCUGUCAUGUAGACCAACAUGCAUGACUCUCAUAGCCAGCACAUCUCUAGCUUGCACCAAGGGCCACGCCCCUUUCAAUCCAGUAAAAUACCAGGGCCGUCUCCCUUGCCAUUCAAUAAUCUCACCUUACUAAUUCGUAUCUACCAGGUUUGUCACCCAUUUUCAAGACAAUGUUAAGUAUAUAUCCUUGAGGACGUCUCCUAUUUUUGACCACCACCACCAGACAUGAACUUCCUCAUUGGUGUCAUGACAAGCAAUUUACAAUGCCCUAUUCCAGAUUUCCAGUCCCAACUCCGCACCUGCUAGGUUUCACAACAUGGUAGAUUGUGGAGUCCAGACUGAGUGUCCCGCGGGACUACCACAACUAGCACACUUUUGCACACUAAGGUCAUGACCCUUAUUUACAAACUCACAAUACAUGGUUGGAAACAAUAGUGGAAUACAAAUGCCUUCAUUUUC